rnacentral:rRNA from 1 species
CCUACGGGUGGCAGCAGUGAGGAAUAUUGGUCAAUGGGCGGACGCCUGAACCAGCCAAGUCGCGUGAGGGAAGACUGCCCUAUGGGUUGUAAACCUCUUUUGUCAGGGAGCAACGCCGGCUACGUGUAGCCGGACUGAGAGUACCUGAAGAAAAAGCAGCGGCUAACUCCGUGCCAGCAGCCGCGGUAAUACGGAGGAUGCGAGCGUUAUCCGGAUUUAUGGGGUUUAAAGGGUGCGUAGGCGGAAUGCCAAGUCAGCGGUAAAAUCGCGGGGCUCAACCUCGCUCCGCCGUUGAAACUGGCGUUCUUGAGGGGGCGAGACGUAUGCGGAAUGCGUGGUGUAGCGGUGAAAUGCAUAGAUAUCACGCAGAACUCCGAUUGCGAAGGCAGCAUACCGGCGCCCAACUGACGCUGAAGCACGAAAGCGUGGGUAUCGAACAGGAUUAGAUACCCCAGUAGUC